UCUCUUCUAGGGUUUCAAGAUUCCUUAUUAACACUUAUUUCUAUUCUCUAUUUGAUUCUUUACUGUUUUGGGGAUUUUAUUUCAGAUCUGAAAAUUCAAAAAUCUAAUCUUUUAAUUUUCUGUUUCGUUUCAGAUCUAAUUGUUUAGGGUUUUCGUAGGAGUUUCUCGUGACUUGGCAACUCGAUCUUGGUCCGCGCGCAACACCGUAUCA
rnacentral:lncRNA from 1 species